rnacentral:snRNA from 9 species
AUACUUACUUGGAUUGGGUUAAUUGGUUAUGAAGAAGGCCGAUGGUCUGGAGAGGCCACUUCCAUUGCACUUAAGAGGGGGGUCUUCCUAGCAUCUCCCAUUGAGGAGAGUGCAUCUCAUAAUUUGUGAUGGAUGAUAGUUGGUUGUGGGCUAUGGA